rnacentral:rRNA from 1 species
AGGACGAACGCUGGCGGCGCGCUUAACACAUGCAAGUCGAACGUGAAGCCCGGGCUUGCCCGGGUGGAAAGUGGCGAACGGGUGCGUAACACGUGAGCAACCUACCCCGAAGACCGGAAUAACCCAAGGAAACUCGGGCUAAUACCGGAUGCCCUCACCUCGUCGCAUGGCGAGAUGAGGAAAUGGAUUCCGCUUCGGGAUGGGCUCGCGGCCUAUCAGCUUGUUGGUGGGGUAACGGCCUACCAAGGCGACGACGGGUAGCUGGUCUGAGAGGAUGUCCAGCCACACUGGGACUGAGACACGGCCCAGACUCCUACGGGAGGCAGCAGUGGGGAAUCUUGCGCAAUGGGCGAAAGCCUGACGCAGCGACGCCGCGUGCGGGAUGACGGCCUUCGGGUUGUAAACCGCUUUCAGCAGGGACGAUUGUGACGGUACCUGCAGAGAAGCCCGGCAACUACGUGCCAGCAGCCGC